UCUGGUGAGAAUCUACCUUAAGAUGAGAACCUCCUUAUAAUGAGAACCUCUAAUCACCGUCCGAUUAAACCUAAAUUAACGGAUGAGAUCGGAUCUUAACCAAUCUAACUCCCGACCACCUUUGGUUCCAAAUUCCAAACCAGGCAUUUCUCUCUCCUCCUUCCCAAAAAUAUCGACUUUCUCUCUCUACUCCCUGAGAAAUCGACUUCGAUUUUCCCUUCAAAUAUCUUCAAAAUUGUUGCGAAUUUUUGUGUGAAUUUUUAGAGCUGGAUUUUGUGCCGAUUUCGAGAGAUUAUGGGAUCAAUUAUGUGAGAAUUUUCAAGUUAUUUGGUGAAUUCACUUCAAAAUUUAUCAAUCAUAGAGUGAUCUUCGCAUGUUAAAUUGAAUCAAUUUUCUCCAUGAAUUGCAAUGUCAUCGAUAAUUUGCUGCGAAAUUCCCUUAGAUAGAGGCUGCUACAAGUUGGGGAUUGGUGUGGCUCGGAUGAGCACCUACUUCUUUGUAUAGAUUAGUAGUAUGAACUGACGGAGGAGGACCCGACUACUAGAUCACCUGCAAAGGAGGCCUACCAGAAGCAGCUGGGGGAGGUAUUCAAUAUGAACAGGACAAGUAUUCUUGCAUUCAAGAACAAGCCACCUAAUCCUGUUGAGUUCAUGCCCCAGGAGUAUACUUCUGUCCACCAACCUAAGUCCGUUAAGCCUCACAGACACAUCCCUCAGGUAAUUUUUAUGCCUAUUUGUAUAUAAAAUCUACAAAAUCGUUUAUGUUUAUUGUUGUUCGUUUAAUUGGGUUGUUUGGUUAAAGUAGGAUAAGAAACCCUAAGCAGGAAUUGUUCUGUUCUUUGUAUAUUGAGUGUAUAGUUGCAGACUUCAGAGCGUACAUUGGAUGCCCCCAAUCUGUUAGACAACUACUACUUGAAUUCGUUGGAUUAGGAUAGCAAUAAUGUUCUUGCAAUAGCUCUUGGAACCGCAAUGUACCUUUGGGAUGCAUCUACUGGAUCUACUUCAGAAUUGGUAGCCGUUGAUGAUGAUAAAGGUCCUGUAACCACUGUAAACUGGGCUCCUGACGGUCGUCACGUUGGUGUUGACUUGAACGAUUCUGAAGUUCAGCUCUGGGAUUCAACAUCCAACCGGCAGGCAACACUUAACAUCUAACUCUACAACUUUCAAUGACCAAUUAGUCUAUUGUUUAUUGGUUCAAUUAUGACAUUCAUUGUUUUGUUGUACCUGUAGUUGAGGACUUUGAAAGGAGGCCACAGAGCUCGUGUUGGGUCACUGACAUGGAACAACCACAUCCUCACCACUGAUCAAUGGACAGAAAGAUUGUUAACAUUGAUGUGAGGAUUAGAGACCAUGUAGUGGAGACCUACAGAGGACACCAACAAGAGGUUUGUUGCCUAAAGUGGUCAGCUUUAGGGAAACAACUAGGUAGUGGAGGCUGCUGCAAGUUGGGAAUUGGUGUAGCUCAGAUGAGCACCUAGUUCUUGGUAUAGAUCAAUAGUAUGACCUUGGUAUACUUCAGAUCCGAUGCAGUCUACGCAGAAGCUUGAGAUUGGGCUUUCGUUAUAAGGCUCGUUGCACGUCUUGUGGUCAGGUUAUUGACAACAUUAUUAAAUGAUAGAAAAGGUAGGUUUUGGUCUGGCUGAAGCUGCUAUUUUUGUUGUCUUAGUAGACCAAAGUUGACUCGUUGACUUUGGUGCAAGAUUAACCUCUAUAUCUAUUAGGUAUUAGCUCUUGAUCCCUAAUGAAUAUUGACAUGCUAGGCUUUGGAGCGUGUAUGGCGUGAUGUCAUUUGGAGUUGAGUAUUUUGGUAGUAGAUGUUCUUAAACCUAUUAGCUCAAAUGGUAGAGCACU